CUCCUGAUUUCCUCCUUCUCCAGGCUCUGGAUGAAGUCCUUCCUUUCCCAAAGGAGGGGAAAGGCAGCACGAUGUGAACCAGAGGUGGUGCUUUUGGAAAGCCCCUCCAGCCUGGGAAGGUGCUUUUGGCUCCAGACACAUUCCCAGAGCUCAGGAGAGAAAAGCUGCCAAGGAAUAAAGCAAGAGCUUCCCCUGGUGAAAACCUGCCCAGUCCCACGCUGGGUUUGCACCCACACAAAGCUCAAUCCCUGCUGGAAUCCCAGUCACAGCCCCCAGAUCAGUGUGCAGUUUAAGGUCUCACAGCCUGACCAGGACAAUCUCUUGCCUCUGGACAUGGAAAAUCAGUUUUGUUGUUGUUACAGCACCAGCUCAAGAAUCCUCUGAGGCUGAGACAAAGACAAGGAACCUUCUGAGAUGGAAAGAGCCAGAGCAAGUUGUUGUGGGAAAGGAAAAUUAAAGAUGCAGAGAAACAUUUAAGCAAGAGGUGCUGAAAAGAAUUGGAGUUUCUGAUUUUAAGUCUCCAACUGGAUUGUCACUGGUCCAACUUCCAUGGACUGGUCACCGUGGCCAGGUAGUGUCCAAUCCUGCUGGAAUGCACUGGACCAGGAUGUCAUUUUCAUUUUAUGCUGGUAAAGACUCUGGGUGACCCCCAGUGACUGGAAGGAGCAGACUGGGCUCCCAGGGCACCAAUUCCAGGGGUUCUGUUUUUGGGAAUAGCACAGGAGCCUUUCCCUUGCCCAGAGGAGCAGCCAGUGCCUCCCUUAGUCCACAAAUCCCCAGGAUGGACCACAGAGAAAAUAACAGGAAUGUGGGAAUCCCCCACACUGGGAGUUUGUGGUGCUCUGGAUGACAUUUGGGAUGUAAAAUGUUAAAGGGGGUGUGGAGGGGCUUCUCUCCUUUUUAUUGUCAUUGUUAUCACUGCUCUUGUUGCUACCACUGCUAUGUGCUGUCAUCAAUAUUAAAUUAUCAUGUUUGUCUUGGUUUCCAUUAUUAAACUGUUCUGAUCUCA